UCCACCAGGUUGAUUCUGCCUGACGGGGAAGCUAGUUUCACAGAUUCAGCCAUGCAAGUAGUAUGUAUGUAUACACAAGGCUCAGUAUCGAGUAUAGCUUUGCUCUCCAAGAUGUGAUACUUUCAGGAAACAGAAAAUAAAGCAUCUAUCUUCUAGAGUAUUUUAGAGGAGAGGAGAAGAAGCGACUCACCUAUCAGUUAGUAGGUAUGGUAAGGGCAUACCUAGACGAAGACGGGUACGGGGAAGGCAACUUCGAUUCCGGAGAGGGCGCAUUUAGAGAUGGCGACCAGUUCUAAGGAGUGCAGCAGGCUCGAAACUUACCGAAUUAUAGAUUAGAGGUAGUGAUGAAACGUUUAUAUAGAAAUACUUGGUAAAGCAAGUAUUAACAACUGGAGGGUAAGUCUGGUGCCAGCAGCCGCGGUAAUACCAGCUCCAGGAGCUUCUUCGAUAUGUUGCGGUUAAAACGUCCGUAGUCGCGGCUUGGGACUGACCUGUAAUCUAUUUGGUCAACAGAUAGAUAGGGGCAGUAGCAAGCUGGAAAAGAGCAAUUUGGUGUCAGCUAAUGGUAUGGGGAGGGGUGAAGUCUGAGGAUCCAUGCAGGAGGAGCAAAGGCGAAAGCACUGACAAAGAUUGAUUCUGUUGAUCAAGGACAGAGGCUAGAGGAUCGAAUACGAUUAGAUACCGUAGUAGUUCUAGCAGUGACCGAUGAUGAUUUUGCUUAUGGCAAUAGAGAAAUCAAAAUAGAUCUCCGGGGGGAGUACAUGCGCAAGCAAGAAACUUAAAGAAAUUGACGGAAGACUACCACAAGGUGUGGAUUGUUCGGCUUAAUUUGACUCAACGCGGGAAAACUUACCAAGCUUAUUUGUUCAACGAGUAUUUAUAUUAGAGCAAAAUGGUGGUGCAUGGCCGUUCCUAACAGAUGGAGUGAUUUUGUGAUUAACUUCCAUAAUCUGUGUAAUCUCAGAAUAGCUUGUUCGAAAGAACAAUUCGAGGCAAGAACAGGUCAGUGAUGUCCUUUGAUAGCUUGGGCCGCACGCGCAAUACAAUGUUUUAUGUAGUAAGAUAUAGAUAAAAAAUAGAACAUGAGGGAUUGAGGGCUGAAAAGCACUCAUGAACACGGAAUAGCUAGUAAUCGUCAGUUCAAUAUACGGCGAUGAAUAUGUCCCUGUUCUUUGUACACACCGCCCGUCGUUAUCGAAGAUGGAGUGAUUUUUGAGUCAAUUAUAAUUGGCGAAUGAGUCAUUCUAAAUCCGGUACAAGUCGUAACAAGGUAACCAA
rnacentral:rRNA from 1 species